CAGCCCGNGNUAAUACGUAGGGUGCAANCGUUNUCCGGAAUUAUUGGGCGUAAAGAGCUNGUAGGCGGUUUNUNGCGUCUGCUGUGAAAACCNGAGGUUCAACCUCGGGGCUUGCAGUGGGUACGGGCAGAUUAGAGUGCGNUAGGGGAGAUUGGAAUUCCUGGUGUAGCGGUGGAAUGCGCAGAUAUCAGGAGGAACACCGAUGGNGAAGGCAGAUCUNUGGGCCGUAACUGACGCUGAGGAGCGAAAGCAUGGGGAGCGAACAGGAUUAGAUCACCCUGGUAGUCCAUGCCGUAAACGUUGGGAACUAGAUGUAGGGGCCAUUCCACGGUUUCUGUGUCGCAGCUAACGCAUUAAGUUCCCCGCCUGGGGAGUACGGCCGCAAGGCUAAAACUCAAAGGAAUUGACGGGGGCCCGCACAAGCGGCGGAGCAUGCGGAUUAAUUCGAUGCAACGCGAAGAACCUUACCAAGGCUUGACAUAUACCGGAAAAGUUCAGAAAANUCUUCCC
rnacentral:rRNA from 1 species